CUCCGGUUGAUCCCGCCGGACCCGACUGCUAUCAGAGUGGGACUAAGCCAUGCGAGUCAACAUAGCAAUAUGUGGCAUACGGCUCAGUAACACGUAGUCAACAUGCCCAGGGGACGUGGAUAGCCUCGGGAAACUGAGGAUAAACCGCGAUAGGUCAUCACUUCUGGAAUGGGUAAUGACUUAAAUCUAUAUGGCCCCUGGAUUGGACUGCGGCCGAUCAGGCUGUUGGUGAGGUAAUGGCCCACCAAACCUGUAACCGGUACGGGCUCUGAGAGGAGGAGCCCGGAGAUGGGCACUGAGACAAGGGCCCAGGCCCUAUGGGGCGCAGCAGGCGCGAAACCUCUGCAAUAGGCGAAAGCUUGACAGGGUUACUCUGAGUGAUUUCCGUUAAGGAGAUCUUUUGGCACCUCUAAAAAUGGUGCAGAAUAAGGGGUGGGCAAGUCUGGUGUCAGCCGCCGCGGUAAUACCAGCACCCCGAGUGGUCGGGACGUUUAUUGGGCCUAAAGCAUCCGUAGCCGGUUCUACAAGUCUUCCGUUAAAUCCACCUGCUUAACAGAUGGGCUGCGGAAGAUACUAUAGAGCUAGGAGGCGGGAGAGGCAAGCGGUACUCGAUGGGUAGGGGUAAAAUCCGUUGAUCCAUUGAAGACCACCAGUGGCGAAGGCGGCUUGCCAGAACGCGCUCGACGGUGAGGGAUGAAAGCUGGGGGAGCAAACCGGAUUAGAUACCCGGGUAGUCCCAGCUGUAAACGAUGCAGACUCGGUGAUGAGUUGGCUUAUUGCUAACUCAGUGCCGCAGGGAAGCCGUUAAGUUUGCCGCCUGGGGAGUACGGUCGCAAGACUGAAACUUAAAGGAAUUGGCGGGGGAGCA
rnacentral:rRNA from 1 species